rnacentral:lncRNA from 1 species
GCCGCAACUCCAUCACACAGUCCGGGAACACGGUUCAGAUCUUUCAUGCCCCAACCAUUUGCUCUCUUUUUUAAGGGACCGCCGCCACAUCCGAUGUGAGCGCUGUCGCGGCGCUGACCACAGUGUUCUGCUACUGAGAGGCGUACGAAAUUGUCUUCUCCAACAAUACAAGUGCACCCGAACCCUGUGGAAAAGACGUCCCUAGCAUCGCACCCUGGUGGCUAAACCUGCUCGUCCCAUGCCGCAAAUGUCGGGACGAGCUGCCAUCAGCAACAGAUAUUGCAUGCUAUCAAAACGGCCGGAGAUACGUAAAGGGGUGGGCGAGAAGUGUGUUUAGUUGGAACAGGGAAAUAUCUGGCGACGAGGGGGAACCCCUGGUGCAAUCAUGGCGUUCAUGUUUGGGCAGCCGAGUCGUUCGCUGUGAAAUGCGCGAGUCUGCACUCUGUGUAUGAGGAAAAUUGCGGCUUCCUAGGUUUGCACAAACUACCUAAUUAUGGGGGGUCGAGAAAUACCCGUGUCUCCGGUUCUGCGCCUGUCGGAAGCAAAGGCUUUCUUCCAUCUGAC